rnacentral:rRNA from 1 species
CCUACGGGCGGCUGCAGUGGGGAAUAUUGCACAAUGGGGGGAACCCUGAUGCAGCGACGCCGCGUGAGUGAAGAAGUAUCUCGGUACGUAAAGCUCUAUCAGCAGGGAAGAAAAUGACGGUACCUGACUACGAAGCCCCGGCUAACUACGUGCCAGCAGCCGCGGUAAUACGUAGGGGGCAAGCGUUAUCCGGAUUUACUGGGUGUAAAGGGAGCGUAGACGGCACUGCAAGUCCGGAGUGAAAGCCCAAGGCUUAACCAUGGGACUGCUCUGGAAACUGUGGAGCUUGAGUGCGGGAGGGGCAGGCGGAAUUCCUAGUGUAGCGGUGAAAUGCGUAGAUAUUAGGAGGAACACCGGCGGCGAAGGCGGCCUGCUGGACCGUAACUGACGCUGAAGCACGAAAGCGUGGGUAUCGAACAGGAUUAGAUACCCCAGUAGUC